GCUCGGCGGCAGCUACCAUGCAGUCGAGCGGUAACAGAUCCAGCUUGCUGGAUGCUGACGAGCGGCGGACGGGUGAGUAAUGCAUAGGAAUCUGCCCGAUAGUGGGGGAUAACCUGGGGAAACCCAGGCUAAUACCGCAUACGUCCUACGGGAGAAAGGGGGCUUCGGCUCCCGCUAUCGGAUGAGCCUAUGUCGGAUUAGCUAGUUGGUGAGGUAACGGCUCACCAAGGCCACGAUCCGUAGCUGGUCUGAGAGGAUGAUCAGCCACAUCGGGACUGAGACACGGCCCGAACUCCUACGGGAGGCAGCAGUGGGGAAUAUUGGACAAUGGGGGGAACCCUGAUCCAGCCAUGCCGCGUGUGUGAAGAAGGCCCUCGGGUUGUAAAGCACUUUCAGCGAGGAAGAACGCCUAGCGGUUAAUACCCGCUAGGAAAGACAUCACUCGCAGAAGAAGCACCGGCUAACUCCGUGCCAGCAGCCGCGGUAAUACGGAGGGUGCAAGCGUUAAUCGGAAUUACUGGGC
rnacentral:rRNA from 1 species